rnacentral:rRNA from 1 species
GGUUAAGCGACUAAGCGUACACGGUGGAUGCCCUGGCAGUCAGAGGCGAUGAAGGACGUGCUAAUCUGCGAUAAGCGUCGGUAAGGUGAUAUGAACCGUUAUAACCGGCGAUUUCCGAAUGGGGAAACCCAGUGUGAUUCGUCACACUAUCAUUAACUGAAUCCAUAGGUUAAUGAGGCGAACCGGGGGAACU